GUAUGGUAUUAACAACAGGAAAUACACUUCAGUGUUCAAAUCCUGAUCCAAUCAAAACAUUUUCUGAAAAAACGUGCGUGGAAAAUGGCAGAAAAUGGUUUCAAAUUGGUGGGAGCAAACCUUGCGAAAAUUGCUGCAUAUAUCGCAAUAUGACACAAAUAAGUGACAGACAUCUUGCUAUUACUGAUACGGUGAUUAAGGAUGAUGAAACACAAGUAUUUAAUUACAACGUUGUAAGAGAUGAAAACGCUUCUAUUUAUUAUUCAGAAAGUAUUUCAGAAGGAAUUAUAAUGUUAGAUACGGAUUGUAAUAAAUAUGCGAUAAUAUACGAUUC